UACGGGGGGGGCAAGCGUUGUUCGGAAUUACUGGGCGUAAAGGGCUCGUAGGCGGCCAACUAAGUCGGAUGUGAAAUCCCCAGGCUCAACCUGGGAACUGCAUCCGAUACUGGAUGGCUUGAAUCCGGGAGAGGGAUGCGGAAUUCCAGGUGUAGCGGUGAAAUGCGUAGAUAUCUGGAGGAACACCGGUGGCGAAGGCGACUACCUGGCCUGUUCUUGACGCUGAGGCGCGAAAGCUAGGGGAGCAAACGGG
rnacentral:rRNA from 1 species